CAGGCUGGCUCCUGCUUAUUUCUUUGACUUCCUCCGGUUCCAAGCUCCUUCAACACAGCCUCCUUCCAGCUGUUUCUGUCUCAAGAAAAGUCUUUGCUAAAACGUUUCUCUCUGCUACAAUCCUCUCCAUCCUGCCCCCAACUUCAUCUCAUUGUUGCUGUCAUGUAUUAGCCCAAAUGUUAUUUCCCCAGGAAAGCUUUCUGACAAGACCAAAAUAAGUCUGCAUUUCAUAUGCUUCAGAGCCACCUGAACUCUUAAAGACUUUUCACUAUUUUAAUGUAUUUAGGUAAUUAGUUGAUUGAGUUGUGUCUCUCUUACUGUUCUCUAAGUUCUAGAAGAACAGAUGCCUUGGCUCUUAGCCCUCUCUGUAUCUCCAGAGCCUAGUACAGAGUAUGAAUGAAGAAACCAACUCAUCCUGGUCAUUCAGGAAUGUGUAAAUUUCCUGCAGGUCCACAGACUGAGGCUUCCUUGCCCAGCCAAGGGCAUGAGGAUUCUGGGAUUAAUACACUGGCCUGUGGAAUGCAUUACCGAGAGGUGACCUGUUAAUUCCACAUUGAGGAUGACUCUCCAGAUAUUGGUGACGCGCACAGUGCAAACAGUAUCACUGACAUUGCCUCAAAUAAAAGUAAUAAGCAUGUGGGAUUUAAGCCUGAAGCUUCUAUGAGGAGGGAAAUUUUCUCUUAGAUGGCCACUGCUGAUGGAUUAAUCCACUCACAUGAUCUGUGCUGGACUUCCCUGGUGGCUCAGGUGGUAAAGAAUCUGCCUACAAUGGGCGGAGCAGGGGGAGGACCUGGGUUUGAUCCCUGGGUUGGGAAGAUCUCUUAGAGAAGGGAGUGGCAAUUCAUUCCAGUAUUCUUGCCUGGAGACUUCCACGGACAGAGGAGCCUGACGGGUUACACUCUGUGGGAACACAAAGAGUUGGGCAUGACUGAACGACUAACACACAUGAUCUGUGCUAAUGGAUAUUCUCGCAGCCUCCAUAUUCCACUCAUGCAGCAAAGAUCAUCGAAGACAGAAAACUCUACGACAGUGUUUACCUUCCGCUCAGCAUGAGAAUAUUCGUCUUUGUGCAGUGAAUGUGUCCACUUAUAGGCAAACAAGCUAAUAUUCUGGAAAAAAAAAAAAAGAGUUGUAUUAAUGAGCCACUGUUCACACAAUAAAUUUUGUCUUUUCCUUACAAA